AAAGUUGUGCCUGGUGUACCGGCUGCCGGUCAUCCAAAACAGUGCGUCCGCCAUGGCCGCUGCCGAGAGAAGAGAACACAACACACGCGGUGCACCGGACCAAGGUUUUAUGUCGCUGAAAGUUCAUCAUCCAUUCUUUUCCCCUCACUUGAUCACCUUGGUUUGCUACACACAAGUCACAACCCAAAGACGACACCCCAGCCGGUGAUGGAUGCCCACAUUCCUCUGUCCAUUUUCUGCUACACGCACUGACUUACACGCACAUACAGACACAACACAUACGGUUCCUCACAAUUCUUAUUCUGCUCUACGGAGUCCUUAGGCGAGAGCCACCUAGUUACGCCUAUGCGAAAAUUUGGUAAAUGGCGGGCUGGGCUGGGACCUCCGGCCUUGGCCAUGCUCAGGCCGACCGACGCGCGGCGCGGUCAGUGACCGCCGCCGCUGACGGCCCGGAACUGGCGCCUGGAGAUCUUGGGCAGCAGGAAUAUGCCGACGAUGCCGCCGAUGAGCGCGAAGGCGGACGCCAUGCCGAACGCCGGGAUGUUGCCCU
rnacentral:lncRNA from 1 species